rnacentral:rRNA from 1 species
UACAGAGGGUGCAAGCGUUGUUCGGAAUUACUGGGCGUAAAGGGCGCGUAGGCGGAUACUUAAGUCGGGGGUGAAAGCCCGGGGCUCAACCUCGGAAUUGCCUUCGAUACUGGGUAUCUUGAGUUCGGGAGAGGUGAGUGGAAUGCCGAGUGUAGAGGUGAAAUUCGUAGAUAUUCGGCGGAACACCAGUGGCGAAGGCGACUCACUGGCCCGAUACUGACGCUGAUGCGCGAAAGCAUGGGGAGCAAACAGG